AGCGAACGCUGGCGGCAGGCCUAACACAUGCAAGUCGAACGAACCCUUCGGGGUUAGUGGCGGACGGGUGAGUAACACGUGGGAACGUGCCUUUAGGUUCGGAAUAACUCAGGGAAACUUGUGCUAAUACCGAAUGUGCCCUUCGGGGGAAAGAUUUAUCGCCUUUAGAGCGGCCCGCGUCUGAUUAGCUAGUUGGUGAGGGUAAUGGCCCACCAAGGCGACGAUCAGUAGCUGGUCUGAGAGGAUGACCAGCCACAUUGGGACUGAGACACGGCCCAAACUCCUACGGGAGGCAGCAGUGGGGAAUCUUGCGCAAUGGGCGAAAGCCUGACGCAGCCAUGCCGCGUGUAUGAUGAAGGUCUUAGGAUUGUAAAAUUCUUUCACCGGGGACGAUAAUGACGGUACCCGGAGAAGAAGCCCCGGCUAACUUCGUGCCAGCCGCCGCAGUAAUAC
rnacentral:rRNA from 1 species